CAUGUUUGCCAGGAAGAUUUUAAUGCUUAGAUGUCAGUGUGAGUGUGGAUGACACUCGGAAGAUUUGUGGGAGCAUGUUACUCAACUGGUAGAACAUUUCUUCAGAAAUACUCUGUAAAAGGUGGCAAAACCCCCAAAACUGCUGUGUCUAGUAGACACGAAUUAUGACAUGAAGGAGAAAAGGGCAUGGGAAGUUGUCGUCACUGCAAAUCAAGAUGGACAAGUGAGAGGCUGUGACUCAAAAACGGCAACAAGUUCAUCAACGUCACUGAGGAUCUCACUGCUGGAAGUGGGAUUUUAUAAAGGAACUGUGUGGGGAAGAAAUGUAGGGUAACAGGGAGAAGUUAUGAAAAACAAAUCCAUAAUCUGAUUUCUCCUGCUAUCUUACAGUGUAUAGUUUAAAUUACAUUAGUGAUUGAAAGGGAAAUUAGGUCCUCUGAUUCAUUUUCCAUAAGGCAAUGCCACAGUUUAAAGAAAAAUUUAAAGAUCAAUGUAGUCUGGUUAAAAGAUCAAAGAACUAGGCACGUCACUUAAUUCAUCUUGUGCAAAAUAGAACUAAUAAUCCUUUGUGCUUAUAUAAUAGUAACAUUUAUGUAGAACUUAUAAAAUUCACUUUGGAGAAAUGAUUUCAUUUGAACCUCACAGCAAACUUGUGAAGUGCUAUUCUGCUCAUGUUAUAGACAGGAAACUGAAGCUAAAAGGUUAAAUGACCUCAGGUAUUGCAUGAGUAAAUGCCUGAGGAUGGAUUCAAACUCAAGUCUUCCUGACUCUAAGUCCAGUGAUUUGCAGCGGACUAACCCUAAUCUAGUUAACAUCCAUUUCAAAUUAUGUCCCAUGUAAAAACUAUAUAAUGCCUAUUCUUAAGCAGAUCAAACUGUUUAGAGGGAAAAAAAGUUGAAUCUUUUCUUUCACUCUACUGUAUAAUGUGGUAUUGACUCAAAAUUUACAUAUUUAAUUAACACAUUUUCAAAUAUUUUUCCACAUAGCAGAUGUUUGACCUCCUUAUAUCCCUUUCUUCCCUUUGUCCUUCCUCUCCUUUCUUCCCACUUCCCCUCUAUCCUUCAUUCCCUGUACUUAAAACUAAGGGUGAGAGGGCACAUGAAGUAAUUUGAUAGACAGCUGGUCUCUGGGUCCACCUCUGACAUAGACCAGCUUUGGGACCCUGUUGGUAAAGUCCCUUAAACUCUUACUGGUCUAGUUAAGUCUCUAAGACUAUGCAUUUGGGGGCAUUAAUGGCAAUAGGAGUUUCUUAGCCAGUAUGGUUCCCAUCUGUAUGAAAUCACAGAUCUGGACCAAAAGUACACUGUACAUAGUUGUGGGCCCCCUUUUCUCCAGGAUGGCAAUUGAGUCUAUGGCCUAUUUUAGGUCUAUUCUAGAUCCUCGCUUCAGUUCUACACUCUGUAAAUUUUUUGGCAGGAGAGAGGGGGAGGGAGGUUAUGGAGUUGUAAGAAAAGGAAAUGGAUGUUGAAGAGGUGGUACGGAGAGAGCUUCAGAAAACACUCAUAUUAAAGAACAGUGAGGAAUAGACAAAUAAAGGUCUAGGACACUUUGAAGAUCACAAUACAAUGCUUGCUACUCCAAUGUACGAAGCAGUUCUUGGCAAUUUGUUCAUGGAUUAUCCCUGUUUCGUAUUAUCAUCAUCAAGAUGUCAUUUCUUCCCACCACCAACUUGUGUAUGUGCUGAGAGAAUCCAAGCUAAUUUGAAUACCUAAAUAAUAAUUAGGCUAAAUAAUAAUUAGGAAGGUAAAUAUGCUUCUCUACAAACAAAAAAGAAGUAUUUUCUAUUUCACUUCCCAACACUGUCAGUAAUGCAGAGUUUAUUAUAUAUUCAUGCAAUCAUAAUAAUUUUUCACUAGCUUACCUCUGACAUAUCAUGCACCAAUAAGAGAGGAAUACUAAUUGUUGUGAUGUCAUGAGUACAGCAAACCUUUAGAAUAUUUCGGAGACCCAUGAUGGCAGGAUCUCGAGCUGUGAUGUUACCAGAUCUCACAUUGUCAUCCACACAGAGAUGGAAAGCCACAUGGAUUUCGGAAAGAUUGGAGUGCCGGGUAAUAUAAAAUUCUCCUACAAGCAAGAGAUAGGAUGUUUUUCAAAUCAAUAAAUCAUGCUGAAUUAUAUCCAAUGUAAUGGGCUAACAGAAAUAACCAGUAAAUAAUAAAAUGCUAUAGCUGAAUAAAUACUAUUAAA